rnacentral:rRNA from 1 species
AAAUCCUUAAUGUGUCAUUGAGGAUAAGGUAAGGGAAAAUAAUGAUAUUACCUUACUAUUAGUGUCGUCCAAAACUCGUGCCAGAAGACUCGGUAAGGCGAGAGACGCAAACGUUAAUCAUCUUGAUCAGGCGUAAAGGGUGUGUAGGCUGUUUAAGUUAAAAUUUAUUUUUAAUGUAUACUAGAAUCUAAAGGAGGUUAAAACAAUGCUUUUUAUUAUAAGUGUUCGAACUUUAGAAAAAAAGUAGAGUGUUAAAGGCGAAGGCUUUUUCCCAAUAAAGAUUGACGCUGAGAAACGAAGGGGAGGGCAAAAAAAAGGAUUAGAGACCCUUGUAUUCCUCUCUGUCAACGAUGAAUGGUAGUCAUGAGAUAGAAAUAAUCUUGAGGCAAUGUUAACACGUAAAACCAUUCCGCCUUGUGAGUACGACUGCAAAGUUGAAAACAAAAAAAUUAGUCGGUUUCG